UCCCCGGGCUUAACNUGGGAACUGCAUUGGUGACUGCAAGGCUAGAGUGUGUCAGAGGGAGGUGGAAUUCCGCAUGUAGCAGUGAAAUGCGUAGAUAUGCGGAGGAACACCGAUGGCGAAGGCAGCNUCCUGGGAUAACACUGACGCUCAUGCACGAAAGCGUGGGGAGCAAACAGGAUUGGAUACCCUGGUAGUCCACGCCCUAAACGAUGUCUACUAGUUGUCGGGGAUUAAUUUCCUUGGUAACGCAGCUAACGCGUGAAGUAGACCGCCUGGGGAGUACGGUCGCAAGAUUAAAACUCAAAGGAAUUGACGGGGACCCGCACAAGCGGUGGAUGAUGUGGAUUAAUUCGAUGCAACGCGAAAAACCUUACCUACGCUUGACAUGUCCGGAACCCUGAAGAGAUUUGGGGGUGCUCGAAAGAGAGCCGGAACACAGGUGCUGCAUGGCUGUCGCCAGCUCGUGUCGUGAGAUGUUGGGUUAAGUCCCGCAACGAGCGCAACCCUUAUCAUUAGUUGCUACGCAAGGGCACUCUAAUGAGACUGCCGGUGACAAACCGGAGGAAGGUGGGGAUGACGUCAAGUCCUCAUGGCCCUUAUGUGUAGGGCUUCACACGUCAUACAAUGGUCAGUACAGAGGGUUGCGAAGCCGCGAGGUGGAGCCAAUCCCAAAAAACCGAUCGUAGUCCGGAUUGCAGUCUGCAACUCGACUGCAUGAAGUCGGAAUCGCUAGUAAUCGCGGAUCAGCAUGCCGCGGUGAAUACGUUCCCGGGUCUUGUACACACCGCCCGUCACACCAUGGGAGUGGGUUUUACCAGAAGUAGGUAGNU
rnacentral:rRNA from 1 species